AGGAGAAAAAGGAUAAAGGAAAAGAAAAAGGUAAGACAUGAUACACUUUAACCGUCUGCAGAGUUCAACUUGGUUCGAUUCAAUCACUUCCACUUGAAUCAUAUAAUUGUUCCAUUUUUUACAGUUGAAGAUGGUUAAAGCUGUAAGAUCCAUUCAUGAGGACAAAGGAAUAAAGGAAAAGGAAAAAGAAAAGAAAGAGUAAGAGAUGACACGCUUAUAAGAGUUCUUUUUAUCUUAUAUUUCUCCAUCAGUAACAUCUGCAUAUGUUAAAUCAGAAACAUCUGUGCAUCAUAUCCAGCCAAUUACUCCAUAACAUCAGUUCUUUUGGUCAUAAUUAUACUAACAGUUCGAUCAAAA
rnacentral:lncRNA from 1 species